rnacentral:rRNA from 1 species
GACGAACGCUGGCGGCGCGCCUAACACAUGCAAGUCGAACGAAGUUUGCCGGAUUGAUCCUUCGGGUGAUUGAUAGUAAACUUAGUGGCGGACGGGUGAGUAACACGUGAGCAACCUGCCUUACAGAGGGGGAUAGUGUCUGGAAACGGACAGUAAUACCGCAUAACGUAUUUUUACCGCAUGAUAGAAAUACCAAAACUGAGGUGCCGAAGGAUGGGCUCGCGUUGGAUUAGAUAGUUGGUGGGGUAACGGCCUACCAAGUCGACGAUCCAUAGCCGGACUGAGAGGUUGAACGGCCGCAUUGGGACUGAGAUACGGCCCAG